GUGGUUUCGUGGCAUUUCGGCACUUCCCUACUUUUUAAGAAAACAUGGGAGGAGGGUUGAAAAUUCACGUCAUUUACUGUGGCGCAUGAGGGUACGCUUCGAGGUUCCGCGACGUCAAAGCGGAACUAGAGAAGACGUUCCCUAGGGAGUUGGACAUCACCUGCGAAGGAACUGUCAACGUCACCGGCUACUUCGAGGUCCAGAUCGUCGGCGGCAGACUGCUGCACUCCAAAAAGAAUGGCGACGGCUACGUGGACACGCCGGAGAAGAUGAACCACAUAGUGCAGGGCAUAAAGGACGCGCUGGCCGCCUGCUGAGCUGGCUGGCUGAGCUGAGCCCGACCGUGUGCUGAGCUGCCGGCGGCGGGCUCAGCCAGCCUCCUCCCGCACGGUGGGUGACUGCGCGGCAUCUGAUGACGUCACCGCUCCUGUGACGUCCGUGGCCGAGAGCUCAGCGAGCUGGCAGCGGGCCGAUGUCCGGCGGAGACGUGACCGGACGCCGCUGGUGGU